AGAACGAACGCUGGCGGCAGGCUUAACACAUGCAAGUCGAACGCCCCGCAAGGGGAGUGGCAGACGGGUGAGUAACGCGUGGGAAUCUACCUGGUUCUACGGAAUAACUGAGGGAAACUUCAGCUAAUACCGUAUACGCCCUAAGGGGGAAAGAUUUAUCGGUGCCAGAUGAGCCCGCGUUGGAUUAGCUAGUUGGUGGGGUAAUGGCCUACCAAGGCGACGAUCCAUAGCUGGUCUGAGAGGAUGAUCAGCCACACUGGGACUGAGACACGGCCCAGACUCCUACGGGAGGCAGCAGUAGGGAAUAUUGGACAAUGGGCGAAAGCCUGAUCCAGCCAUGCCGCGUGAGUGAUGAAGGCCUUAGGGUUGUAAAGCUCUUUCAGUGGGGAAGAUAAUGACGGUACCCACAGAAGAAGCCCCGGCUAACUUCGUGCCAGCAGCCGC
rnacentral:rRNA from 1 species